UAUAAAAUUUUUGAUUCAUGGCUCAGAACGAACGCUGGCGGCGUGCCUAAUACAUGCAAGUCGAGCGGACAGAAAGGGAGCUUGCUCCCGGAUGUUAGCGGCGGACGGGGUGAGUAACACGUGGGUUACCUGCCUGUAAGACUGGGAUAACUCCGGGAAACCCGGAGCUAAUACCGGAUAGUUCCUUGAACCGCAUGGUUCAAGGAUGAAAGACGGUUUCGGCUGUCACUUACAGAUGGAYCCGCGGCGCAUUAGCUAGUUGGUGGGGUAAUGGCUCACCAAGGCGACGAUGCGUAGCCGACCUGAGAGGGUGAUCGGCCACACUGGGACUGAGACACGGCCCAGACUCCUACGGGAGGCAGCAGUAGGGAAUCUUCCGCAAUGGACGAAAGUCUGACGGAGCAACGCCGCGUGAGUGAUGAAGGUUUUCGGAUCGUAAAGCUCUGUUGUUAGGGAAGAACAAGUGCGAGAGUAACUGCUCGCACCUUGACGGUACCUAACCAGAAAGCCACGGCUAACUACGUGCCAGCAGCCGCGGUAAUACGUAGGUGGCAAGCGUUGUCCGGAAUUAUUGGGCGUAAAGGGCUCGCAGGCGGUUUCUUAAGUCUGAUGUGAAAGCCCCCGGCUCAACCGGGGAGGGUCAUUGGAAACUGGGAAACUUGAGUGCAGAAGAGGAGAGUGGAAUUCCACGUGUAGCGGUGAAAUGCGUAGAGAUGUGGAGGAACACCAGUGGCGAAGGCGACUCUCUGGUCUGUAACUGACGCUGAGGAGCGAAAGCGUGGGGAGCGAACAGGAUUAGAUACCCUGGUAGUCCACGCCGUAAACGAUGAGAGCUAAGUGUUAGGGGGUUUCCGCCCCUUAGUGCUGCAGCUAACGCAUUAAGCAACU
rnacentral:rRNA from 1 species